GAUGAACGCUGGCGGCGUGCCUAAUACAUGCAAGUCGAGCGAACGGACGAGAAGCUUGCUUCUCUGAUGUUAGCGGCGGACGGGUGAGUAACACGUGGAUAACCUACCUAUAAGACUGGGAUAACUUCGGGAAACCGGAGCUAAUACCGGAUAAUAUUUUGAACCGCAUGGUUCAAAAGUGAAAGACGGUCUUGCUGUCACUUAUAGAUGGAUCCGCGCUGCAUUAGCUAGUUGGUAAGGUAACGGCUUACCAAGGCAACGAUGCAUAGCCGACCUGAGAGGGUGAUCGUCCACACUGGAACUGAGACACGGUCCAGACUCCUACGGGAGGCAGCAGUAGGGAAUCUUCCGCAUGGGCGAAAGCCUGACGGAGCAACGCCGCGUGAGUGAUGAAGGUCUUCGGAUCGUAAAACUCUGUUACUAGGGAAGAACAUAUGUGUAAGUAACUGUGCACAUCUUGACGGUACCUAAUCAGAAAGCCACGGCUAACUACGUG
rnacentral:rRNA from 1 species